GACGAACGCUGGCGGCGUGCUUAACACAUGCAAGUCGAACGGAAAGGCCCUGCUUUUGUGGGGUGCUCGAGUGGCGAACGGGUGAGUAACACGUGAGUAACCUGCCCUUGACUUUGGGAUAACUUCAGGAAACUGGGGCUAAUACCGGAUAGGAGCUCCUGCUGCAUGGUGGGGGUUGGAAAGUUUCGGCGGUUGGGGAUGGACUCGCGGCUUAUCAGCUUGUUGGUGGGGUAGUGGCUUACCAAGGCUUUGACGGGUAGCCGGCCUGAGAGGGUGACCGGCCACAUCGGGACUGAGAUACGGCCCAGACUCCUACGGGAGGCAGCAGUGGGGAAUAUUGCACAAUGGGCGGAAGCCUGAUGCAGCAACGCCGCGUGCGGGAUGAAGGCCUUCGGGUUGUAAACCGCUUUCGCCUGUGACGAAGCGUGAGUGACGGUAAUGGGUAAAGAAGCACCGGCUAACUACGUG
rnacentral:rRNA from 1 species